rnacentral:lncRNA from 13 species
GGGCAGGUCCUGGUGCUGGGCUCUGGGCCAGUGGACUUGGAGGGUCAUGCACCCAAGUGUGUGUGUGUGUGUGUGUGUGUGUGUGUGUGUGUGUGUGUGUGUCUAUUUUAACCUCCCUAGAUAAUUUACUGAAGAUUCAGCUCUGGAAUCCUAUUUUGUUAAUUAAAAGUAACAACGAUAUUUAGCAAGGAGGGGUGUAUUGGGAUUUUUUUUUUUUUCACAAAGACCACUCCUGCAUCAAUGUGGAGGUGAGAUGAAAACUAGACUGGAAAAGGAAGUGGAAAGAAGGUUGUAACCAUCCGAGUGAUUACCGGGGUGGCUAAGGGAGGGCUGUGUUACCCCUCUUCCAACCCCAGGCAGCUCAGCUCACAGUUCCGGAAGAGACUACUUCCUUCUGCAUGAGGAGAGGAGAUGGGAGAGUGAAGAAAACUUUGUUUCGCCGCUUGGAUGCCAGCAGAGGAGAACAGGGUACCAGAACAGCACCUGAGCUGCAACUGGGCCCACUUGAGCUAUGGCUAGAGCUGCCAGAGUGAGUGCUCCAGCAGAAUGCAGGAAGCACAGACCUGAGACAGCCAUGGCAGCCAGCCUCAAGGUCCAGCAGGAAGCACAGACAGGAGACAGCCAUGGCAGCCAGCCUCAAGGUCCAGCAGGAAGCACAGACAGGAGACAGCCAUGGCAGCCAGCCUCAAGGUCCAGCAGGAAGCACAGACAGGAGACAGCCAUGGCAGCCAGCCUCAAGGUCCAGCAGGAAGCACAGACAGGAGACAGCCAUGGCAGCCAGCCUCAAGCUCUCUUUCACCGCUGGAAUUUCCACACUCACUGAUUCCAAGCUCAGCAUCCUCUGCUGCGUUAUCUGACAAGUGUGUAAUACGACUCUAUGCCAUGCACCUGGGGUAUUCCUAAGCUGAGGUUUGGCCUCUGUUGAUGUUCUUGAUGUUUCUGUUA